rnacentral:rRNA from 1 species
CCUACGGGAGGCAGCAGUGAGGAAUAUUGGUCAAUGGGCGAGAGCCUGAACCAGCCAAGUCGCGUGAAGGAUGACGGCCCUACGGGUUGUAAACUUCUUUUGUCAGGGAGCAAUUGAGUCCACGUGUGGUCUUAGCGAGAGUACCUGAAGAAAAAGCAUCGGCUAACUCCGUGCCAGCAGCCGCGGUAAUACGGAGGAUGCGAGCGUUAUCCGGAUUUAUUGGGUUUAAAGGGUGCGUAGGCGGAAUAUCAAGUCAGCGGUAAAAAUUCGGGGCUCAACCCCGUCGUGCCGUUGAAACUGGCAGUCUUGAGUGGGCGAGAAGUAUGCGGAAUGCGUGGUGUAGCGGUGAAAUGCAUAGAUAUCACGCAGAACUCCGAUUGCGAAGGCAGCAUACCGGCGCCCGACUGACGCUGAGGCACGAAAGCGUGGGUAUCGAACAGGAUUAGAUACCCGUGUAGUU